rnacentral:rRNA from 1 species
UACAGAGGUCUCAAGCGUUGUUCGGAUUCAUUGGGCGUAAAGGGUGCGUAGGCGGGUCUUUAAGUCAGGGGUGAAAUCCUGGAGCUCAACUCCAGAACUGCCUUUGAUACUGAGGAUCUUGAGUUCGGGAGAGGUGAGUGGAACUGCGAGUGUAGAGGUGAAACUCGUAGAUAUUCGCAAGAACACCAGUGGCGAAGGCGGCUCACUGGCCCGAUACUGACGCUGAGGCACGAAAGCGUGGGGAGCAAACAGG